UGCCAGCCGCCGCGGUAAUACGGAGGGGGCUAGCGUUGUUCAGAAUUACUGGGCGUAAAGGGCGCGUAGGCGGCGCGAACAGUCAGGCGUGAAAGCCCCGGGCUUAACCUGGGAACUGCGUUUGAUACUGUCGCGCUAGAGAUCGGGAGAGGGUAGUGGAAUUCCCAGUGUAGAGGUGAAAUUCGUAGAUAUUGGGAAGAACACCAGUGGCGAAGGCGGCUACCUGGACCGAUUCUGACGCUGAGGCGCGAAAGCGUAGGGAGCAAACAGGAUUAGAUA
rnacentral:rRNA from 1 species